rnacentral:lncRNA from 1 species
CUUCAUCACUUUGCUUAAAUAGAAAGCAUUACAAAAAAAAACCCCUAAAAUUGAGUAGUGCUCAUAUCAAAUUCAAUCCAAUCUAAUUCUGAGCCGUGCUCAUAUCGAGUUCAAUCAUAUACUCCAAAUGAGGACAUGUUAAGGUGAUUUUCCUUAAUGAUGAUUCAGACCCCUUAUACUUAAGGUGAUAUUCAAUGAUGAUACUUUUUCAUUUGAAUUUUUUUUUCUUUUUUAACCUCGGAGAGAAUUGAAAGAGAAACAAAAAAACAAAAGUUGAAAAAACACUUGAAUAUUAUAUUUGUGUCUCUGGUGGACUAAAAUCACGUUAAUCUCUUUUGCCUUCUUUGUUGGUUUCUUAACUCCUAAGAAAUUCCUUCAUGCAAACAGUAUGAAAGUUCUGUUAAAGAGAGACAAGCUUUUGUAUCGAAGAGAUUAAAGGUAAGGUUGAAGACAAAAUGAGAAAGAAGAGACCAAAAUUAUGGGGUUUUUUUUCACCUUCAUGAAAAGCAGUUUUCCCCGUGAAAGACGAGAAAGGGGAUCGAUGAUAAAGGCAGGUAGCUAGGCAUGGACAAUGAUGUGAAACCGAUGCAAAUUCUGCCGAGGGGAUGAGACUCAAAAGCUAUGUGCCCAACCAAAAAGACUUCAAAAAGAGCCCUAAUAAGCUUCUAAAGAGACUCCACCCACUCAUUCUCAAAGCUUGUCAUCCUUAAUCAAUCCAUUUAUCUGUAAGAUGCUUAUUAUAUGGCUUAGACCACCACCACUUUGGCUCAAAAGACUACACAAAACGCAUCUUAUUUAAUCACUUUUUAUGGAUUCCUUUGAUCAUAAAACCUACUAUAUCAUAUAUAAAAAUAUAUAUAUAUAUAUAUACAUGCAGAACGUUAUCACCGUGCGAACACCAUUGUAAAUAGAGAGAAAAGUAGAGACGGAUAAUAGCAAAUACAUGGCGUCCGCACGGUACGUUCGAAUGUGUGAAUAGGAGAAAAAUCUGUAUAUUAUAUUCUUUCCUAAUAAUGUAAAACUUGAGUAUAUUAAUACGAUGGGACCAAAAAAGGACUGUGUGACUUUGACAUAAUCUAAAUUUUCACACGAAGUUCAAAUAACUCGUUUGAAAUCGUGUGCACCAAUUGUAUGAGUAACACGAGAUUUCUUUCCCAUCCUGUCAAUUUGCUGGCAAACAAGUUUUGACGAGUUGAGCGGGAAUGGUUUUUUUGACAAAGAGUCAUGUUCAGCCGAUCAGGGCCGUUAUUAGAGGGGUUGUGAACUUGUGAGCUGUGGGCUGUGGCUGGUUGCAAAUGCUCAAAAACUCUGCAAAUAAAUGUAAGCCGCAUGAGUAGACUAAAGUAGCACAAUUUGAGCUUGAGCAUGGUAUUAAAUAUUCUAGGUUUUCAUUUUGCACUUCUUCCAGUUUUCUUGGGGGGCUUUUUUUUUCAUGGGUUACGUACGCGUGCCGUACGCAACGUUCAUUUAAGUAGUUUUCUUAAUGCUGCAAAGGCCAUGGAAGUGCAAUGAUUUUUGCAAAAUAUGCAGGCUAAUUGAAGGGCCGAACACCUUUGUGUAGGAAUUAAUCUAGGCUGUGUGUGUGGCAACAGGGAGAACAUGAACAAUCUUUAAUCUCACACAUUGUCUGUAAUAAUUAUAUGUCAU